AUAAUGCUACUUCCGUCCAGCCACAGCCCUGCUAAAGCAGGACAGGCAAUGGGGGCGGCUCGCGGAGAUCCUGGGAGAGGUGAGAUUCCUAUGG
rfam:Desulfitobacterium hafniense Y51 DNA, complete genome.